GCAGUUAAAAAGCUCGUAGUUGGAUCUCGGUGAUACUGAAGCCAACCGCUGCUUAGUUGGUUGAGUCUGGCUGCACCUAGCGUGUACGUCGGAUUUGCCGGCUGUGUUAGUGGUGUGGAAGCGGUGUUACCUUUCAGCCAUGUCUGUGGUGCAAUACCCACAGGUGUAAGCAAGUGUCAGGCGGUGCUGUGCUUUCGGUAUGGUCCGUCGGCUCGUUUGCAUGCCUGCGGAUGCCCUUCAAAAGGUGUCUGUUGGCGGAUGGCACGUUUACUUUGAACAAAUUUGAGUGCUCAAACCAGGCCAAUGUUGCCUGAAAAGUUUUGCAUGGAAUAAUGGAAUAGGACUUCGGUUCUAUUUUGUUGGUUUUCGGAUCCGAAGUAAUGAUCAAAAGAGACAGGCGGGGACGUUUGUAUGGUUGCGCUAGAGGUGAAAUUCAUGGACCGUAGCCAGACAAACUAAAGCGAAAGCAUUCGUCAAGCAUGUUUUCAUUGACCAUGAGCGAAAGUCAGAGGCUCGAAGACGAUCAGAUACCGUCCUAGUUCUGACCAUAAACGAUGCCAACUGACGAUCCGUGGUGGUAGUAAAUUAACCUUCCCCACGGGCAGUCACCGGGAAACCUUUAAGUCUUUGGGUUCCGGGGGAAGUAUGGUUGCAAAGCUGAAACUUAAAGGAAUUGACGGAAGGGCACCACCAGGAGUGGAGCCUGCGGCUUAAUUUGACUCAACACGGGAAAACUCACCCGGGCCGGACACUGUAAGGAUUGACAGAUUGAUAGCUCUUUCUUGAUUCGGUGGUUGGUGGUGCAUGGCCGUUCUUAGUUGGUGGAGCGAUUUGUCUGGUUAAUUCCGAUAACGAACGAGACUCUAGCCUGCUAAUUAGUGCACUUGUCCACUGUUCCUGUGUAAGUGGCGUUUCGGCGAUGUUGCCCAUGUUAUCUGCUGCAGUUGU
rnacentral:rRNA from 1 species